rnacentral:rRNA from 1 species
UGGGGAAUUUUGGACGAAUUGGGCGAAAGCCUGAUCCAGCAAUGCCGCGUGUGUGAAGAAGGCCUUCGGGUUGUAAAGCACUUUUGUCCGGAAAGAAAUCCUUGGCUCUAAUACAGUCGGGGGAUGACGGUACCGGAAGAAUAAGCACCGGCUAACUACGUGCCAGCAGCCGCGGUAAUACGUAGGGUGCAAGCGUUAAUCGGAAUUACUGGGCGUAAAGCGUGCGCAGGCGGUUUGCUAAGACCGAUGUGAAAUCCCCGGCGUCAACCUGGGAACUGGCAUUGGUGAUCUGGCAGGCUAGAGUAUGGCAGAGGGGGUGAGAAUUCCACGUGUAGCAGUGAAAUGCGUAGAGAUGUGGAGGAAUACCGAUGGCGAAGGCAGCCCCU